rnacentral:rRNA from 1 species
CGUAGGGCGCAAGCGUUGUCCGGAAUUAUUGGGCGUAAAGAGCUCGUAGGUGGUUUGUCGCGUCUGUCGUGAAAGCCCAUGGCUUAACUGUGGGUCUGCGGUGGAUACGGGCAGGCUAGAGGCAGGUAGGGGAGAACGGAAUUCCCGGUGUAGCGGUGAAAUGCGCAGAUAUCGGGAGGAACACCGGUGGCGAAGGCGGUUCUCUGGGCCCGUACUGACGCUGAGGAGCGAAAGCGUGGGGAGCGAACAGGAUUAGAUACCCUGGUAGUCCACGCCGUAAACGUUGGGCGCUAGGUGUGGGGUUCUUCCACGGAUUCCGCGCCGUAGCUAACGCAUUAAGCGCCCCGCCUGGGGAGUACGGCCGCAAGGCUA